rnacentral:rRNA from 1 species
AACUUUUAACAAUGGAUCUCUUGGCUCUCACAUCGAUGAAGAACGCAGUGAAAUGUGAUAAGUAAUGUGAAUUGCAGAAUUCAGUGAAUCAUCGAAUCUUUGAACGCACCUUGCACCCUUUGGUUUUCCAAAAGGUACACCUGUUUGAGUGUCA